ACCGGGAUGGUCUAAUAUGUUAAGGCGUCGCCCCGGACAGGCGAAGGUUGCGGGUUCAACCCCCGCUCCUGGCC
rfam:Ixodes scapularis strain Wikel colony gcontig_1108379547131, whole genome shotgun sequence.